UGGGAUAUGGCUUGGUGGUAGAGCACUUGCCUAGCAUAUACAAAGACUGGGUUCAAUUCCUAGUACCACAA
rnacentral:tRNA from 1 species